CCUACGGGAGGCAGCAGUGGGGAAUCUUGGGCAAUGGGCGAAAGCCUGACCCAGCGACGCCGCGUGAGUGAAGAAGGCCUUCGGGUUGUAAAGCUCUUUCGGCAGGAACGAAACGGCGGACUCUAACAUAGUCUGUCAAUGACGGUACCUGAAGAAGAAGCACCGGCUAACUACGUGCCAGCAGCCGCGGUAAUACGUAGGGUGCGAGCGUUAAUCGGAAUUACUGGGCGUAAAGCGUGCGCAGGCGGCUUUGUAAGAAGGAGGUGAAAUCCCGGGGCUUAACCGAGGAACUGCGUUCGUGACUGCAAAGCUAGAGUGCGGAAGAGGGGGGUGGAAUUCCUGGUGUAGCAGUAAAAUGCGUAGAGAUCAGGAGGAACACCGAUGGCGAAGGCGGCCCCCGGGGUUUACACUGACGCUCAUGCACGAAAGCGUGGGGAGCAAACAGGAUUAGAUACCCUGGUAGU
rnacentral:rRNA from 1 species